UGGGGAAUUUUGGACAAUGGGCGAAAGCCUGAUCCAGCAAUGCCGCGUGUGUGAAGAAGGCCUUCGGGUUGUAAAGCACUUUUGUCCGGAAAGAAAUCCUUGGCUCUAAUACAGUCGGGGGAUGACGGUACCGGAAGAAUAAGCACCGGCUAACUACGUGCCAGCAGCCGCGGUAAUACGUAGGGUGCAAGCGUUAAUCGGAAUUACUGGGCGUAAAGCGUGCGCAGGCGGUUUGCUAAGACCGAUGUGAAAUCCCCGGGCUCAACCUGGGAACUGCAUUGGUGACUGGCAGGCUAGAGUAUGGCAGAGGGGGGUUAGAAUUCCACGUGUAGCAGUGAAAUGCGUAGAGAUGUGGAGGAAUACCGAUGGCGAAGGCAGCCCCCUGGGCCAAUACUGACGCUCAUGCACGAAAGCGUGGGGAGCAAACAGGAUUAGAUACCCUGGUAGUCCACGCCCUAAACGAUGUCAACUAGUUGUUGGGGAUUCAUUUCCUUAGUAACGUAGCUAACGCGUGAAGUUGACCGCCUGGGGAGUACGGUCGCAAGAUU
rnacentral:rRNA from 1 species